GACGGAGGAUGCAAGUGUUAUCCGGAAUCACUGGGCGUAAAGCGUCUGUAGGUGGUUUAAUAAGUCAACUGUUAAAUCUUGAGGCUCAACCUCAAAAUCGCAGUCGAAACUAUUAGGCUAGAGUAUAGUAGGGGUAAAGGGAAUUUCCAGUGGAGCGGUGAAAUGCGUAGAGAUUGGAAAGAACACCGAUGGCGAAGGCACUUUACUGGGCUAUUACUAACACUCAGAGACAAAGCUAGGGUAGCAAAUGGG
rnacentral:rRNA from 1 species